UACGAAGGGGGCUAGCGUUGUCCGGAAUUAUUGGGCGUAAAGAGCUCGUAGGCGGUGUGUCGCGUCGGCCGUGAAAACCUGCAGCUUAACUGUGGGCUUGCGGUCGAUACGGGCAUCACUGGAGUUCGGCAGGGGAGACUGGAAUUCCUGGUGUAGCGGUGAAAUGCGCAGAUAUCAGGAGGAACACCGGUGGCGAAGGCGGUUCUCUGGGCAUGUCCUGACGCUGAGGAGCGAAAGUGUGGGGAGCGAACAGG
rnacentral:rRNA from 1 species